AGUCUUGCCUUUGUCAUUAAUUGGCUGUGCGACCUUAGGCAGUCGCCUAAUCUUCCUGGGCCUUUGCAUUCUUAUAAUUCAGUAGCUUUGAAGAAACUAUAAGUGCAAUCAGCAAUGUAUGAUGCUUGUGACAGAGAAUAGUGGGUAAUGCAGUGAUAAGAAUUUCUUCUCAGGAAACUAACCUUUACCUCUCACAAGGUAUAAGGGUGGCUUAGGGACUGAAGAAUCUAUAACCAUGCAAAGUUUCCAUUCUUUUUCCAUUCCCUCUCUUUAUCCCUCCCUUCCUUUUUCCAUCAAGCAUUUCCUGUCAUGUAAUGAAAAUCAACCCCUCUGUUAGAAACCAAGAAUGGAAAGUAUAAACCAUUGUGCAGGCCUUUGAAGGAGCUGCAGAGAAGGGGAUGCGGUCGAUAGACAUGUUGACCAGCAAUUCCAACACAUUGUGAUAAAUGCUGUCACGGAGUAAGUGAAGAGUGCCAGAGAAGAAAACAACUCCCUCUGCCUGGUGAAGUCCCAGGAGGCUUCCUGGAGAAGGUCUGAGUUUUAUUAAAGGAUGAGACAGUCACCAGGCAGGCCAUGGGAGGAGGGGAUUGUUGGUAGGAAGGCCGGAGUGAACAGAUGAGCCUGAAGGACUGAUGAGGAAGCUCUACCGAGCCCAGGAAAGAGGUGGUGAGAACUUGAGCAAGGCAGAGUCAACAGGAUGGGAGCAGGGAAGGGAUUUAAGACACUUCUGGGUGAAAACAAAGAGGAGAGAUUGGUUGUAGGGAAGGGAGCAAGGCCUCAAGGAUAACGCUGGGGGCUCCUGUUGCUGGGAGGCUAAUGUUAUUUACUAAAGGGCAUCAGGAGGGGAGCAAACUGCUUACCCUGGGUAAUGCUGCUGAGCCCCUCAGUUUCUAGGCACUCUCUCUUUUUUUUUCUUUUAAUUGUAUUUCCCCUUUGGUUCCUAGAAAAUUUUCUUAAGCCAGAAAGGCUCCUCUCAUCUUAUCUUGAUUAUCUGAAUGGAAAAGGGAAAGGCCCAGGCUUGGGCCAGGUGAGCUGACUGGGGCAGAGCAGCCCUGGAAGCUCACCUGGAGGCAGCAGGCAUCCUCGCUGGGACCAGGGUGAGGCCCACAGGAGACUGCAAAACUGAAGAUGAAGCCAUUUCUCUAGAAACACACUGAUUCAUGCCCAGGAAAGAAGAUGAGGAGAGUUCUUAGCACCAGUCCCGCCCGAGUCCCUGCUUUCCUGCCAGGCACACACUCACUCAAGCCUGGGGAGCAGAGUGGGAGAACAAUCAUUGCAGUGAUCUCUAACCCCUGCCUGAGGAGAUGCUGUGGCAGGCUGGUGGAAUGAGCAGGAUUCUUUUCAUCAGGCACACCUAGGUUCACAUCAUGAAACCAUUUUCUUCAGUUAAAUGCUGAAAAUCUAGGGGAAGCCUUUUCCUGGGUUUGCAACUUGAAUCUCUCUCCCUGCCUGGCCUUCCCCACCAUCCUCAAGGCUCCAGUCAAGAGUGCCUCUUUGGACUGUAGCCAUUACAGUGUUCGAGGGACAACGAGGCCUAUCCCUGCUUCAAUCCAAUCAGCCAAUACUGGGAGUUUUGGUACCAAUGGACAAGCAUUAGGACAUAAACAGAGGAUUAAAGCUCAGCUGUUUCAGAGCACAGUGUACAAAGGCUGCUUAAAGCUUCCAGUUUGCAAACCAAAUCAUGGAACAAUGUAAGAUCUUCAGGAAUCAUCUGUAGAAUUCAACCACAGAGAAAGAAAUGAGGCCCACAGAGAAGAGUUGGCCAGGGCCAACAGCUGGUUGGAGGGGAGUCUGGGCUUUGUGAUUCCUUACCCAGUAGAAUGAUAGCUUCUGAUAGGAGUGAUGUUUUGUGUUUUCAAAGUGCUUGGUGUGAAUCUGACUACUCUUUUUACCUUCAUAAUAUGCAUUGGGAUAGGUAACCCAGUAAUAAGUUCUAUUUUUGUAGGUAGAAAAUCAGCAGCUCAGACAGCUCAUGGAAUAUUCUCCCAGCAUCACUGAGCUGACGACUCCUGGAACUGGGGCUCACACUACAUCUUCUUGGGAACAUGUAUGGGGGGCUUUUUGCGAGGCCACACACUCUCCAGAGGAACUUUCAGUCAUGGAAAGUGAGGAGCAGUUUUGAUUUCUGCAGUUUGCUGGAGACUUCGGGUCAAAGUUUUUUCUUGGUGCAGCACAGCAAGUGUUAGAGGCAUAUAGUGAGUGUGUCCAAGUUUUUAUCAUAAUUUUCUGGUUUCUGCUUUAAAAUCCUCUACUUGGCUACAGUUUUGAUAGUGUGAGGCCUCAAACCCAUUAUCACUGAGAACCAUUGAGAAAGCAUUUACUAUAUAUAGAAAACAGCGUAGGUUCUGGGGAUACAAAGAGAUAUGAGAUAUUGCUCUGGUUAGCAAAGACAGGAUGAUUUUAGCUGUGGAAUAAGGACACAUACCUACAUGUACAAAGAGAUAACAAGUCUGGGUUCUCCACAGUGUAUUCCCUUUGCAUGUACCAUACUGCUUCUUUGAAAUCCCUUACCGCACUCUUUUUUUUUUUUUUUAAUAGAGAUGGUGUCUUGUUCUGUCACCCAGGCUGGAGUGCA